rnacentral:rRNA from 1 species
AUGGCUCCCCUCCAAGUUUUUGUCCUCCUGUCACUGAUUUGUCUCUGCAAAUCCGACGACCGCCUUACUCCCGCAAAGCCACUCGCCGCCGGCGACAAGCUCGUCUCAGACAAUGGUGUCUUUGCUCUUGGCUUCUUCUACCCAAAGAACUCAACUGCAGACUCAUAUGUCGGCAUAUGGUACAACAACAUCCCUGAGCCUACAUAUGUGUGGGUUGCUAACCGCGACAACCCAAUCACCAACGCUUCUCCUGGGAAGCUGGUUCUGACCAACAACUCCGACCUCAUCUUGUCUGACUCCCAAGGCCGCGCUCUUUGGACAACCAUGAACAACUUCACAUCCGGAACCACCGGAAACGCUGCUAUACUGCUCGACUCUGGAAACUUGGUCAUCCGGAUGCCAAACGGCACAGACAUAUGGCAGAGCUUCCAUCACCCAACCGACACCAUCCUCCCCGGCAUGCCUUUACCACUGAGUGCAAAUGAUGACAUCUACACUCGCCUUGUUGCUUGGAGGGGUCCUGAUGAACCAGCCAGCAGCGACUACUCCAUGGGCGGUGACCCUAGUUCGGACCUCCAGGUUGUCAUCUGGAAUGGGACGAGACCGUAUUGGCGCAGGUCUGCGUGGAAUGGUGAACUGGUCACUGCCUCGUAUCAAGGUAGCGCUGGCUUCAUCAUGACCCUAAGAAUUGUCUACAGAGGGGAUAAGUUAUACAUGACAUUCACCGUCUCCGACGAUUCGCCAAGCAUGCGAAUGGUGCUGCACUACACGGGCAUGUUCAGGUUUCUGGCGUGGAACAGCAACUCGUCAACAUGGGAGGUUUUCACAGAGCAGCCAAGUCCUAGCUGUGACUGCUACGCCUAUUGCGGACCAUUUGGCUACUGUGAUGCCACUGAAACAGUUCCGAAAUGCAACUGCCUCAGUGGGUUUGAGCCUGAUGGUGUUAACUUCUCCAGAGGGUGUCGGAGAAAGGAGGAUCUGAAAUGUGAUGGUGGCGAUAAUUUCUUGACCUUGAGAGGUAUGAAGAUCCCCGAUAAGUUUGUAUAUGUCAGGAACAGAGGCAUCGACCAAUGCAGAGCAGAGUGCAGCCGUAGUUGCAAUUGCACUGCGUAUGCUUAUGCUAACCUGCAAAAUGGCAGCACGUCUGAUGACGUGUCAAGGUGCUUGAUUUGGUUGGGGGAGCUUGUCGAUACGGGAAAGUUUCGUGAUGGCGAGAACCUGUACCUCCGUCUAGCCAGCUCAACAGUUGACAAGGAGAGUAGUGUAUUGAAGAUUGUACUCCCAAUAAUAAUUGCUAGUAUUCUAAUACUCACAUGCGUCAGCCUUGUGUGGAUAUGCAAGUCAAGAGGCAAACGACGAAUCAAGAAAAUUAAGAAUAAAUAUGCACGACAACAGUCGAAAAAUUCCAAAUCUAUCGAACUUGAGAACGAAACCAUAGAACUUCCAUAUAUUUGCUUUGAAGAUGUUGUUACUGCAACGGACAAUUUCUCAGACUACAACAUGCUCGGGAAAGGUGGCUUCGGGAAAGUUUACAAGGGACGGUCACAAGGUGGCUAUGAAGUUGCUGUCAAAAGGCUAAGUAAGAGUUCUGGUCAAGGGGCUGACGAGUUCAGAAAUGAAGUGGUUCUGAUUGCCAAAUUGCAGCAUAGAAACUUAGUUAGGCUUCUUGGUUACUGCACUCACGAAGAUGAGAAGUUAUUGAUAUAUGAAUACUUACCUAACAAAAGCUUAGACGCCUUCCUUUUUGAUGCCACAAGAAAUUUUGUGCUUGAUUGGCCGAUCCGGUUUAAGGUAAUUAAAGGGAUAGCGAGAGGGCUUCUUUAUCUCCAUCAAGAUUCAAGGCUAACAAUAAUCCAUAGAGAUCUCAAAGCAAGCAAUGUCUUGUUAGAUGCGGAAAUGAACCCUAAAAUAUCAGAUUUUGGUAUGGCAAGGAUCUUUGGAGGAAAUGAACAACAAGUGAACACUGUCCGUGUUGUUGGGACAUACGGUUACAUGUCUCCUGAAUAUGCAAUGGAAGGUUCCUUUUCUGUCAAGUCUGACACCUAUAGCUUUGGUGUUCUACUCUUGGAGAUUGUAAGCGGGUUAAAGAUCAGUUCAUCCCAUCUCGUCAUGGACUUUCCAAGCCUUAUAGCUUAUGCAUGGAGCUUAUGGAAAGAUGGAAAUGCAAGAGAAUUGGUGGACUCGUCCAUUACGGAGAUCUGUCCACUUCAUGAAGUUCUGCGGUGUAUUCAGUUAGGUCUCUUGUGUGUUCAAGACGAUCCAAGUGCUCGUCCACUCAUGUCAUCCACCGUGUUCAUGUUAGAAAAUGAAACAGCCCCGCUUCCUACUCCAAAGGAGCCUGUAUAUUUUAGGCAUCGGAAGUAUGAAGUUGAAGACCAAAGGCAUGACUAUGACCUGGAAAUGUCUCUUAAUGGCAUGACUAUGACAAUGGAAGAGGGGCGUUAA